CGUUCCCGGGUCUUGUACACACCGCCCGUCACNCCGUGGGAGCGGGAUGUACCAGAAGUAGGUAGGCUAACCGCAAGGGGGCCGCUUACCACGGUGCGUUUCGUGACUGGGGUG
rnacentral:rRNA from 1 species